rnacentral:rRNA from 1 species
UACGUAGGGGGCAAGCGUUGUCCGGAUUUAUUGGGCGUAAAGAGCGUGUAGGCGGCCAGGUAGGUCCGCUGUGAAAACUCGAGGCUCAACCUCGAGAUGUCGGCGGAAACCAUCUGGCUAGAGUCCGGAAGAGGUGAGUGGAAUUCCUGGUGUAGCGGUGAAAUGCGCAGAUAUCAGGAAGAACACCCGUGGCGAAGGCGGCUCUCUGGGACGGUACUGACGCUGAGACGCGAAAGCGUGGGGAGCGAACAGG